CUCAAAGCUCUAAUUUCACGUGAAACCAAGAAAAAAAGGGGUGGGAGCAGGGCAGAACAAUCUAAUACUGACCCAUAAGCAUGCAGGCCUUUAACAGUUUACAGAGCUCUUGAAAAAUCUUAACUCAUCUUCCUAACAACUGAGCCAAAAACCUCACUAUCAGAUCCCAAUUUUAAAAAUAUAUUUUUUUAAUUUUUAGUUGUACAUGGACACAAACCUUUAUUUUAUUUAUUUAUUUAUAUUUUAUAGGAUGCCGAGGAUUGAACCCAGUGCCUCACAUGUGCUAGGCCAGUGCUCUACCACUGAACUACAAUCCUAGACCCUUGGAUCCCCAUUUUACAGAUGAGAAAACAGACUACGAAGGGAAGCAGCUGGUCCUAAGUCUCACAGCUUGCAAGUGAAUUUUAAAUCUAGUCUGCUAAUUCUAAAAUGAAAACUCUUUCUACAGUAGUAGAAAGGAAAGUCCCCUAAUCAUAGAGGAAAAAAAAAAACUAAGUACAAGAUGUGUUUUGUUUUUUCAAUAAGUGCAAUAGAAAUUUGGGGUACAACUCAUACAUUGCUGGUGGGAUUGCACAUUGGUGCAGUUAUUCUAUAAAGUCAUAUGGAGAUUCCUUAGAAAACUAUGAAUGGAACCACCAUUUGACCCAGCUAUCCCACUCCUUGGUCUAUACCCAAAGGUCUUAAAAACAGCAUACUACAGUGACACAGCCACAUCAAUGUUUAUAGUAGCUCAAUUCACAAUAACUAAACUGUGGAACCAACCUAGAUACCCUUCAGUAGAUGAAUGGAUAAAGAAAAUGUGGUAUAUAUACACAAUGGGAUAUUAGUCAGCAUUAAAAGAGAAUAAAAUCAUGGCAUUUGAAAGUAAAUGGAUGGAGUUGGAGAAUAUCAUGCUAAGCAGAAUUAACCAAUCCCCCAAAAAACAAAGUCCAAAUGUUUUCUCUGAUAUGAGGAUGCUGAUCCAUAAUGCGGGGUGGCUAGGGAAAAAUGGAGGAAAUUUGGAUUGGGCAGAGGGGAAUGGGGAGAGGGUAGUGGGUGUA
rnacentral:lncRNA from 1 species